UACGAAGGGGGCUAGCGUUGCUCGGAAUCACUGGGCGUAAAGCGCACGUAGGCGGAUUGUUAAGUCAGGGGUGAAAUCCUGGAGCUCAACUCCAGAACUGCCUUUGAUACUGGCGAUCUCGAGUCCGGGAGAGGUGAGUGGAACUGCGAGUGUAGAGGUGAAAUUCGUAGAUAUUCGCAAGAACACCAGUGGCGAAGGCGGCUCACUGGCCCGGUACUCGACGCUGAGGUGCGAAAGC
rnacentral:rRNA from 1 species